AUGAGUGUCUUUAAGCUCCUUGCUUCGAUUUGUGACGAUCUGACUCGUAUGAUCCGUCAAAAUUGGUGGGGAGUUGAAAACGGGAAGAAGAAGAAGAUGUCCUGGAUGAGUUGGGACAGAUUGAGGCUACCUAAACCUAUGGGUGGCAUGGGGUUUGAGGAUAUGAGGGCAUUUAACCAAGCAUUGUUGGCCAAACAAGCUUGGUGCCUAAUAGAUACGUCGGACAACCUCUGUGCACGACUCAUGAAAGCUAGAUACUACCCUUCGGGACAACUGUUGGAUAUGGCUUUCUCAGGCAACGGUUCUUCAGUUUGGAAGGGUAUUUUACAUGGUCUUGAUCUGCUA
rnacentral:rRNA from 1 species